AGGGACUAAAACGAAAAAUUGACAUAUUUAUAGGGACCAAAAACAUAUUUAACCCUUCUUGGUUUGCAGAAUCCUAUAAUUGAUUGCAUGGCUUGCAGAGCACAAAAGUUGUUCUAUAAGUAUAGCCUGUCUGUUGAAACAAAAACACAAUUAACCUAAUUCACUUGUCAUAAACCCUAUUUUGUCUGAAACCCAAUUGCCACCCUCUCUCUAAGCGUUCAUUAAAUCAGCUGGCAUUGUGAGUGAAGGAGUUCUGUUAGUAUGGACAGAGUAAAGGCAUUUCUACUCUGCUUUUCUAGUGGUCAUCCUUACACGGAUUCCUCUCUACGCUUCAAAGAGGUAAGCACAUGAAUCUGAAAGUGAUUAAUGACUAAUGAUUUAAUCAAGAUAUGUUCAUCUGAUUUGUAACUAGAUUGAAGCUUUCAAAAGCCCUCUUAAAAUCCUAACACCUGCGAAACCUGAAAUCGUUGGUUGAUGGUGUUUAAUAGAUUUUGAAUAGGGUAUUUCCAUCAGUAUCAGCCUUCUUCUGUGGGUGAAGGGGUAAAGUGUACAUGCACACACUCUGACGGUCAAGUCAAUAAGUGUCAUAGAAUGAUAAGGUAUUUUAGGUGAAAGUUGAGCGUACUUUACACAAAGAUAAUGAGUUAGUAUUUAUAGUGUAGGUUUAGUUUUCGGUCCAUGAACCUUUACCUGAUAAGCUAUCAUCAAGGGACAAUUGUAGUCCUCGAGCGACAAUUGUGAGUAGAUUGUGAGGAGAUGGUAUUAGAUAUGGACUAGAUGGUACAUUAUUCUUUGAUUCUUUUAUCACAUACAAAUAUUUAUUAAUUUUAUAUUACUUAACAAUUUUAUAUGCUAAAAUUAGAAGUAGAAUAGGUAAUUUAUUCAAGAGACUAAUAAUUAUGUAACAUUGAUAAUUUUUAUUUUGUUCUUGUCAAAGAGAUUUAAAGGCUGGCGAAACAUUUAUUAAAGAAAAUACAAAGUCCAAGUUGCAAACAUGUCAUCUAUACUAUGUUGGCCUCCCAUGAUUAUGAUAUAACUUGUAGCACUAUAAAAUUAUUAUUAAUAAAUCACAGGAAAAUAAGAAUUACAAAUAUUGGGGACUAUACCAAAACCCAAUAAAAGUUAACCAAAUGAUUUCAGAAUGUCCCUUAUUAAAAAUAAUUCAAAAAAGGUAACAUAAACAUAAAUCAAAGUGCAUAUAAUAUUAUUAAAGUACGAACAUUAUGACAUAAAUAAAUUAUAUGUAACAUAUAAUUAUUUUGCAUGUUGAUAGUCACAUUGGCAUGCACUUGCAAAUUGAGUUAAUGCAUCGAGGUACUUCCCGUUCAAACCUACACGCAAGUAGUUGCCAAUUGUUAUUACAAUCAUUGUUAUCUUUGCAUGGAAUACGUUCUGCAAUGUCAAAUAAACAAUAAUAAAGUAUUUUAUUAAAUGAGUAUGAAAUAUUAUGUUUAAUAUAAACAAGAAAAUGAGAAAAUUAUGUUUAAAAUUAAUUACUUACUGCAGUCGUUUACCCCGACAUAUAUAGAAAGAAAGAUUAUCAAAGCAAAGACAAAUUUGGAAAUGUGAGUCAUUUUUCCUUCUUUUACAUGUAAUCGGUGAAAAUUGGAUUAAACAUUUUAUAAGCAAAAUUUUAUUGUUUUUUUAACGUCGGUUAAUUUUUUAAUUAAGUUGUCUCUAAGGUAUUUUUAUUUAAAUUGCAUUGUUAAAGUAAAUUAAAUUGUCUCUAAGUUGUCUCUAAGGAUUAAACAUUAUGUUGUUUAUUAAAUUGAAGUUAUUGUUAAAUGUCUCUAAGGUAUAUCCGCGUGUCAAGUUUAUCCUUUAGCACACUCAAUUGACCAGAUAAACAUAAUAAAUAUUUCGACUAAAAAUUUUGAUGCCCGUAAAAAAUUUAUUAGUGUUUUUGGUUUUUAGCCUUUCAUGAUAGAGAAGAGACAAAAUACCCGAAGAAAAACAUUAGUGUUAAACAUGAAAAAAGUUAUCUUUCAAAAUCAUGUAUCACAGAGGUUCAUAGACGUUUAGAAAAUGUACCAAAUUGCGUCAAGAAAUGAUAAAUUUGUCUCCAUAGAGAUUGUGAUCAAUCGAUAAAAUCAUCAAUUAUAAUUAUACAAUUAAGUGAUAGCUUAAGGAGGGGAGUUUUAUAAUAGUUUGGUUUGCAGAUUAAAAUUAAAGUGAUUAAAGCAGGUGAUUAAAAACCACAAGGGUUGUUUGAAUCACUAAUUAAUUACCAUAUAUUCAAGAGAAAAAUAGAUCAAUACCUAAGGGUCCGUUUAUGAAAUAAAGUACCUUAAUCCCUUAGGUAAAACUAAUGUUAUCAAAAUCUUGAAAGCACAACAUAUUCCAAGUAACACUUAGUAAUCGAAUAUCCAUAAAACAAUUAUCUUGUGAAUUAUGUCUUAGAUUAAUUCAAUAGCGAUCAAGUAGAGAAAGUCAUUUAGCGAAAUAAUUACUUGACAAAUAUAGGUACCAAUUUCAUAAACUCAUAAAUUACAUAUGGAUCAGAUAGUUUCAAAGAGGUUCAUUAACAAACCUAAUUAAAAUUUCGAAUUUUAGAAUUUUAAUUUUCAAUAUCAUUUUAUUCUUCUCAAAUGGUGAUAUUCAUUCUUUUUAGGUUUUAUUUUGAUCCAUUCAUGUAUUGAUCACCGUCAUGUAGUUAUGUGGAAAACAAUUUGUGCAUUGAAACCAAUUCAAUAUGUGAAUCAAACAUUCUAAAGAAGCGUACACCAAUUUAUGACGAAAAAAAAAACUCUUUGACGGUAGUUGAUUGCAAAUUAAUGGAAUUAUUAUGUGUUCGAUUAUUCAUAAUGAAAUUUGUUAUGAAACCAAUUUCUUGUACAUAAUGAUCAGUGAUAAAAUGGUGGAACGGUACUAAUUCUUUUAGAUUGAAGGCACACAUUUUUGUAUCAAAAUCAAUCUCUUCAUGCUAUUUGCCGUCGGAAUCAGGAAGAAGAUGUGAAAAAACAUACCAUAGGUAUUAUUAAGAAUCAAUUAUAGCCAUUAAUUAUUAAGAUGAAGGGUUUAGAUUUGGAAUAAGUCUUUAGACUUACUCUUGGAGUCAAUAUAUCUUUCCCUAUAUAUAUAUGGGGUUUGCUAGGAUACACCCACUAGUUUUUAUUAAGGUGUGUUUUAGCAAAGAUAUAACUAAAAAGUUGUUAAAUACACCUUAAGGUGAAUGUUGCUAAAACACACCUCCUAAAAAAAAUAAGUGGGUGUUUGUUAGCAACUCCUACAGGCAUUUGUUAUGAUACACCCACUUAUUUUUUAGAAUGUGUGUUUUAGCAAGUUAUAACUAAAAAGUAGUUAAAUACACGUUAAGGUGUAACUUGCUAAAACACACCCACAUAAAAACGUUUUUUAAAUCACUUAACUAUUAUUUUAAAUAAUUAUAUGAGUAUACACGUACUAGUAAUUAUUGUGAUUAUUUUGGAGAAUAAUAUUUUAUUUUAUAAUUUAAUAAAAUAAAGAGAAGAGAAGAAAGUAGGUGUGAGUGUGCUUGGAUUAGUAUUUCGAUAACAAAACGAGAAAAAAAAAGAGUAGUGUCAUGUGUUAUAUGACUUAAUUAGUCUCAAGGACUAAAUCAACCAUUCUCCUCCCAAGUUCUACAUAAACCACUCCACACCCAAACUCUCCUUAAUUUCUAUAAUUAUUAUAUGGGUCAUGUUAACCCAUGUUUCGGAUACCGGUUAAAGAAACUAAAAAAGGAAGUUUUAAAAUAAAAGUAAUAGGUGUUGUUUGUGCUUUUGAAGAGUUGACAACACAAAUAUCAAUGCAAUAUUUACUACAUUUGAUUCCUUAAUCAGUAACCUUGGACACCGUUUAACAUUACCCUUAUUAUAUAUACAUACAUGUUGUAUCCUUCCAAACCAAAAUUCGGUGCACAUCUUGAACUCUCUUUUCUACGACAACUCAGCCUACUGCUUUUUACAGAAAUGGAACAAACCCAUUUGAGUUCUCUCAUCAUACACUUAAACGAUUUACUCUUAACUCCCUAAGUGUUCAUCCACGUGAAAGAGAGUAAAGAGAACUCUAGUUUUCAUACUUUUGCAAACAGAGAAACAUCAGAAAGAACCCAUAGCCAACAUUGUUACAUGUCUUACCUUAAUUUCCUACUCAUCAAGUGACCUUCCUAAAGCUACGUUCAUGCUACUUAUGUGUGAAAUCUUAAGAUCGUUUGUUGUUUCGUUGAGAACCGCUACGUGGCUUAGAGUUUGGUUAGGAAGAAAAGUUCUUGAGGUAAAAUUUUCCCCAUCAUUUGUCACUUGUUCCUCUUGUCACCACUUUAUCUCUAAUACUAGGGUUUCCUUUUUGAAGUUUUAAGUCAUUUCUCUCUUGCAAGCUCUUUUGUGGAACUAGAAGUCUAGUUAGAAUGGUGUGGAACUAAAAGCCUCAUUUAAGAAUAAAGCGUGCAAGGUAAGGGCUUUUUUCCCAUACGUUCAUACUAAGUACUGGGAUGAUGAUAUUAUGAAUUAGAGAUAGAGAUUUUUGUCCGUUAAAAAGAAAAACAAUUAAAAUAUGAAUUCAUAUGUUAAAAUUUAAUCUUUUAUAAAAGUUAUUAGAUUUAAUUAUAUUUUAUAUGAUAAUGUAAUGUAGAAUGACAUUUAUUUUAUUUGGCUAUCUUUAUAGGUUUUUUUUUAUAUUGGGAAAGAAGUGUUAGAUUUUUUUUAUAAACUAAAGAAAUGAAAAAUAUGAAAAUGUGAGUUUCAUGAAAAUAUUGACUUUUGAUUCAUGUGGAUAAUGAUGUGUUAAUCUCUUACUGUGUUUGUCUAAGUGGCGGGUAUUUUAUUUGAUUAUGCAUUGCCUUAAUGGCGGGUUAAUAUCAUAUUACUUUGUGGUGCCUGAGUGGCGGGAUUUAGGAUGCAUUUUCAUGAUCAUGCAUGGCAAAUGCAUCUGUGUGGUGUCUUAGUGGCGGGGUUACAAUUAUAUUUUGGGUGGAUGCCUUAGUGGCGGGAAUUAUAUCAGGAUCAUAUAGUUAUAAGAGCAUGCAUCUUAUGCUUAAUUGCAUUGAGUUAGUUGUAUAUUUGUGAUUUUAUAAUUGAUUAAAAUAUUAUAAUGCAAAUGAAAUGGGUGUGAACUUUACUUAAAGAAUAUGACUUGAGUGUAUUUUUCUUAAUUCUUUUUUAUUAAGAAGUUUUGAUAUCAUCUAUUUUAUAACAUUGUUUCUUCUGCUUUGAGUAUGAACCAACUUGGAUAAGGAAAUUGAGCCUUUACACCAACAUUUUAGGUACCCAUGAACAUGAAGAGAUAUGUUUGCUUUGGUGUUUUGCUUGAAGCGCGACGGGGACACAAAUUGGGUUUUUGAUCGAAUUGUAAUUUGAAAAGUGAUUUGAAGGAUGUUUAUGUUACGAAUAUUUGUAUUGGUUUUUAUUAGGAAUUUAUUAUUAAUGAGGAAAAAAAAUAAUAGUGAUUUUCUAAAAAUGAAAAUGAAUUAGGCGUAAUGUCUUAGACCAAAAUUCAGGACGUUACAGUUGGGGUGUGACAGAUGUCCAUAUUUAAAUUUAUUCGUUCAGAGAUUUGAAGAUAGAAUCUUUGAGUUGACGAUCCGAAGAGACUUAAAUACAAAGUACACAAUUUUUGACCUAAGAUGUUGUGAAAUGCUCGUGAUGCAAGUAUGAAUGCAGGACGACAAAGAUGAUUUGAUUGGGAAAGAAAAACAACAUGAUAUCCAAAUUCGUUGAAGAAAGGGAUCCGACUCCGGGGGGUAAUUUAGUUUCACUAGGAAAAUGUUGUCUACUAUCAUAUCAGUAGUUAUAUCAAUUGCUGUAUUUAAUAUUAAAUAUCAAUUAAGACAAACUUACUUUUUAAUUAAACUUCUUAACAUGGCAGAGCACAUCAUGGGCCAAAGUGCACCAUGGGCCACCCCAAAUAUAAUAAUUCUUAGUAGGUAUAUAUACAUAUUAUAUUCUAAAUUAAUAUUAUAUAUACUAGCGAAAAGACGGACAUACAUAUUAUAUUAUAAAUUAAUCUUAUAUAUACUGCGAAAAGACGGGCACUCACGUGUCUUUCCUCUCUUUUUACUGUACUAAAAUUUAAAAGUUAUGAACUAUUUUUUUUUUUUUUUGAAAUUUUGAUUUUGAUUAAAAUUAAAAAUAUAAAUUUUUAUUACUUUACACUUAAUUUUGGGUACAAUUGUUUCGUUACUCUUCUUUUUUAUACGAAAGAGGACUUAAACUUAUUUUAUAACACAUAACAUAUAAUAUGAACAUUAAAAUAUCCUUAAAUAACAUUAUAUCAUAAAAUAUUUAAUUGUAUAAACACUGUAUUUUUUAAGUACAAGAAUACUAUAUUUUUUAAUUAAAUGAAAAAUAUAUUUCAUUAUUGUACUUGAUUACAAGUAUAUUUUCUUAUGUAAUGAUUUUUUCUAUAUUACUAUAUUUCAUGAGUUUUAUUUUAAUUUUUUUGACUUAGUCGUUUCAUUCGAUUCAAUUUAAUAAAUAAAUAUAUAUAUAUAUAUAUAUAUAUAUAUAUAUAUAUAGAAAUCAAGUCAUUUAAUUCAACCAUGAGGUUCAUUCAAUGACCUAGUUGUGAAAUCAAUGAUCUUAUAAUUUGUCCGAGUUGAUAAUCGAUUCAAAAUAUUGGUUUGAACUAUAUUCAACAAAUAACAAGUCUAUAGUCAUUUGAACAAACAAAUGAUAAAGCAUAAUGAUAAAAAAUAAUUUUUCAUUCACUAAACAAAUUGGACGCAGACAAAAAUAUUAAGCUUCAUCACUAUUUAUGGUCCACCCGAGAUUUUUUCCUGGCUCUGCCACUGCUUCUUGACAUGUGCAAAUUUGAACUUGUUAUAAAAACACUUAAAAAUUGCUUUUCUGACAUAAAAACGUCCUAAUAACACAUGGAAAUUCCUAAAAAGCCCUUAGCGGUAGUUAACUACCGUUUUGCAAAUCGGCGGCGGUAGUUAACUGCCUCUGCGCAUGAUACAUAUUCAACUCAUUAGCCAGAAUCCAGACACUCCAUCAUCACCAUCGCUCUCUAAAAAUUUAAAAUUUUCACUCUCUCUUUAAAAAAAACUCUGCCAAAUCAUCCCAAUUUUUUGUCACUAAAUCACAAGUAAGUAAUCACUCAGGCUAUUAUCAUAAAUUUUAGUUGGUAUAUAUGUUUAUAAUUUUAGUUGUAGUUUAAUUUUUAAAUUUUGAGUUAUUUUUUUUAAUAGGAUUAUAUUAUAGAUCUGAAAUGCUAUAACAAUAAUCAUGAAUACUUGUUAUAAUGGAGUUAUAUUUCUUAAUUUUUUUUUUUAGUUUUGUAAAUGUUUUAGGGUUUAUUUGGAUUUUUUAGGGUUUAUGUAUAAUUUGCAUUACAGGUGUUUGAUGAAAUGUUUGAAUGAGUUUUUCAUUGAUUAUGACUUUGGUUUGAAUUAUCAUCCAGGUAAAGUUAAUGUUGUUGCAGAUGCCUUGAGGAGGAAGACAUUGCAUAUGUCCGCUUUGAUGGUUAGAGAGUUUGAGUUACUUGAACAGUUCAGAGAUUUGAGUUUAGUUUGUGAAUGGUCACCUCAGAGUGUGAAACUGGGAAUGCUGAAGAUUGAUAGUGAAUUUCUGAAGAGUAUUAAAGAGGCAUAGAAAGUUGAUGUCAAGUUUGUAGACUUGUUGGUUGCUAGUAAUCAGACUGAAGACGGUGACUUUAAAGUCGAUGACCACGGUGUGUUGAGAUUCCAAGGUCGGAUUUGCAUCCCUGACGAUGCAGAGAUGAAGAAAAUAAUUCUUGAAGAGAGUCAUAGAAGUAGCUUGAGUAUUCAUCCGGGAGCUACGAAGAUGUAUCACGAUUUAAAGAAGAUUUUCUAGUGGUCUGGUUUGAAAUGUGAUGUGGCACAGUUUGUGUAUUCCUGUUUAGUCUGUCAGAAGUCGAAGAUUGAGCAUCAGAAACUUGCUGGUAUGAUGGUAUCUUUAGAUGUGCCAGAAUGGAAAUGGGAUAGUAUAUCCAUGGAUUUUGUGACGAGUUUGCCGAAUACUCCUAGAGGGAACGAUGCAAUUUGGGUAAUCGUUGAUAGAUUGAGUAAGUCGGCUCAUUUUCUACCGAUUAAUAUUAGUUUUCAUGUUGCCCAAUUGGCAGAGAUUUAUAUCAAGGAGAUUGUGAGGUUACAUGGUCUUCGAGCAUUGUAUCAGAUAGAGAUCCAAGAUUUACUUCUAGAUUUUGGAAGAGUUUGCAAGAGGCUUUGGCUUCGAAGUUGAGAUUGAGUUCGGCUUAUCAUCCGUAGACAGAUGGUCAGUCGGAGAGGACAAUUCAGUCGCUGGAGGAUUUGUUGAGAGUUUGUGUUCUUGAGCAAGGAGGAACUUGGGAUAAUCAUCUUCCGUUGAUCGAGUUCACAUACAAUAAUAGUUAUCAUUCUAGUAUUGGAAUGGCACCUUUUAAGGCUUUGUAUGGUCGGAGAUGCAGAACUCCGUUGUGCUGGUUUGAGUCAGGUGAAAGAGUGGUCUUAGGACCAGAGAUUGUUCAGCAGACUACUGAGAAAGUUAAGAUGAUUCAAGAGAAAAUGAAAGCGUCGCAGAGUCGACAAAAGAGUUAUCAUGAUAAGCGCAGGAAGGAGACCACGUGUUUUUGAGAGUCACUCCUGUGACUGGUGUUGGACGUGCCUUGAAGUCAAAGAAGUUGACUCCGAGAUUUAUUGGUCCGUAUCAGAUAUCGGAAAGAGUUGGAAUGGUGGCGUAUCGAGUGGGAUUACCACCGCAUCUUUCGAAUUUGCACGAUGUUUUCCAUGUGUCGCAACUACGGAAGUAUGUUCCGGAUCCAUCUCAUGUGAUCCAAAGUGAUGAUGUGCAAGUUAGAGACAACCUUACGGUAGAGACUUUACCGGUGAGGAUUGGUGAUCGGAAAGUGAAGACGUUGAGAGGCAAGGAGAUACCUCUCGUUAGAGUCGUUUGGGCUGGAGCGACUGGUGAAAGCUUGACAUGGGAGCUAGAAAGUAAGUUGCUGGAGUCUUAUCCAGAGUUGUUUGCUUGAGGUAAAUUUUCGAGGACGAAAAUCUUUUAAGUUGGGGAGAGUUGUAACGCCCACUUUCGUUUAAUUAAUUAUUUAAUCGAGUUUAGGCAAUUAUAUUUUAUUUAUAUAAUAUAUGUGUGGAUUUUGUUGAUUUACGAUGAUUUAGAUGAUUUGGAUGAUUUUGAUGUGUUUUGAUGAUUUGAUGAGAUUAUGAGACUUAUUUUAUUGUCAUAAGAUUUGAAAAUAAAAUAAAAUAUUUAGUUAAGGGUUGUUUUGAGAUUUUAGAGAGUUUUGGGGGAGAAAGUGAAAUAAGAUAAGAUAUUAAGAGGAGAUAUAAAAAGAAUAGACCUAGUUUUAGAAAAGUCAGUACGUACGAUCAAAACUUUGGAAAAGGAGGAAAAACCAAGAGAAGAGCAAGAGCACCUAGGAGAGCUGCGAUUUUCUUCAAUUAAGGUAAGGGUGAGACUAAUAAUUCAGUAAUGUUGAUUGCUAUGAUUCUCAUGAUUAAUCGACAAAGUUAGGAUUGAAUUAGAAAAGUUUUGUAAUUAGGUCAAAUCCCUAAAAUUGAUGAUCAAACGGUAAGAAUUGAUUAGAUUGAUGUAGAAACCGUCCUAUAACCUUAGAAUAUGUUUAGGAUGAAUUCUGGAACCGAAAUUAGGAUUUAAACCAUGAGUUUAGGUGAAUUUUUGAGAAAAGUUGCAUUCUGCUCGAGCCUACAUUCAUCGCUCGCCAUAGCGAGCAAUGAUCCUCGCCUCGCGAGUGAUGGAGUUCAUCGCUCGCCACGCGAGCCAAAACCCCUCGCCUCGCGAGUUACAUGUUGUAGCUCGCCACAGCGAGCAACCCUACUCGCCAUAGCGAGCAUGACCAGAGAGCAUGUCGAAUUCUGAGUUUUUGACUUUUGAGUUGAACAUUGGAUGCCUUUGAGUACCUUUAGGUGUCUACUAUAGAUUAGAGGAUGUUUUAGAACAAGAUUGAACCUGGAACAGCCUUAGUUGGGAAUCUGGCUUGUACUCGCCAUGGCGAGCAGAUGCUCUCGCCUCGCGAGCACUUCCAGAACUGAGUGCAUUCGAGGAUUUUGAGACCUGAGUUGCUUGGAUUGAUUAGGAAAGGAACUUUAGGUACUAAUGAGACCUAUUUAAGAGAUUAACUGAGAACUGUGAAGCUUUUAUGAAAUGCUAAGUGAUUAUAAUGUGAUUUAUUGAUUGAUUGCAUUACUUGAAUUAUUAUUGGAUGAUCAAGAAGUUGUUGAAAAUGAAUUGAUAAUAAGUUAUUGAUGUGAUCUGAUUAUGCUGCUAUUUUUAAUUAACUAAGUUGCAUGAGUCUGAAUAUGAUGAUGAACUCCAAAUUAUUGGAUGUAUAAGUGACUUGAUGAUUAAGAUGUUUUGUUGAUAGGGUCCAUGCAUUAGCAUACAUUGAGCUUUGUCCUCACCACGAUUGGAGCUUUGUCCUCCCACGAUAAAGUAUAUUAAUACUAUGAUGACGAUUGGUACCACAUGCAUAUAAGAGUGUCUAAGUUGCAUUGUUGCAUUUGUCGAGUCUAAAGGUGUUAUGUUAUUGAUGAUUGAAUGAUGUGAUUACUUGAUAAUUGUUAUCAAAGAUGCAAUGAUGAUUAAGACUGUUUAUGAUGUUAAUUAUGAUUUCGAAUUAUAUUGAUUAAUAUUAUUGUGUUAUGAAAUCUCACCCCUUCUACUUGAAAAUGUUGCUCUUCGUAUGAGUAACUUGCAGGUGAUCGUUCUUAGUGUGCAGUUUGCUUUCGUGAGUGGCCUUGCCUCACUGAGUCGUCUAGGUCGCUCUGAUACGUAACGGGAUGGGGAUUAUUUGAUAUGCAUGCUUCAUUCUCUUACUGAACAAUUAUGUUAUUUUUAUGAUGUUGAUUAACUAUUGAGAGAUUUUGAUGGGGCCUACGUGCCAAAACGAUUUAUUGAUUUUCAAAUUUAAUUUCCGCUGCAAAGUUUGAGAUAUUUGUUGAAGUUAAAUUGUUAUUUAACCGAUUUUGGAUUAUGUUUCGAAUGUGAUAUCCCGUUGUUUGAUGUUUACUCUGAUAAAUUUUUAGAAAUUUUCAUAUUGGGAAAACGGGGUGUUACAGAAUACGUUCGGUAUAAACGUUCAACGCUCGACGAGGGGAGGAUAUCAUUCAGUUAGGUGGAAUUAACGAACGACGAUAACAUGAGGAGCAUGUUUUUGGAGCACAACAUGUUCUAGUUGAUCGAUAUGCGUGUAACGUUGCUGCAAUCAACUGAGAAUAUACUGAAGAGUUUAAUUCUGCCGGAAGAUCGUGAUUAGGUAGGGAAUGCACCUUCCAGCUACAACAAUUGUCUUACUCUAAAAUGGGGUAAAUUUAAACUUGUCAAAUGACAGUUCCCAAACAUUCACCUAGAAGUCCUAUUGUUCCUUUCAAAAAAUUAAAUUUUUUUUAGGUUGGUUUAGAUGAAGGUAUUGAAGUGUCAAUGAAUGGACCUCAUUCUUUUGACACUUGAAUGUCAUCAUCUAAAUCAAUCCUAACAAAAAUUUAAUCUUUUGAAUGGAACAAUAACACUUCCGGGUGAAUGCUUGAGAGUUGUUGUUUCGCAAAUUUGAAUUUACCCCAUUUUAGAGGUAAGAUAAUUGUUGUAGUUGGAAGGUUCGGCUCUACCCGAAUGUAAUGUAAUGUAAUGUACUGUAAUGAUAAAACAUAUUUAGGAACCUUAUGUAACGUAAUGUAACUUUUAUUCGAAAUUAUUUAAUACACAAUUUUUAUUUGAAUUCACGCUGAGUUUAAUUAGUCUUUUUUAAAUUUAUUUCACAUGCAAUUUUUAUUCGAAUUCACGCUGAGUUUAAUUAGUCUUUUUCAAAUUUAUUUAUUCUUUAAUACACAAUUUUUAUUCAAAUUUAUUUCUUUCAUAUACAAUCUUAAAAUAAAUGCAAAUAAAAACAAAAAUAAAGGAACACAAGUAAUAGAUAUCAAAACUCAUUUUAUUAAUAUUAAAAUAAUAAUACAUUUACAAUGGGGUAAAACUAAAUCUGCUUCGUCAUACCAAUAACAUUAACAAUAACAUCUUCGUCGAAGCUCAAAAAAAAAAAAAAAACAUCUUCGUCGGACAUUUAUUCCUUAAUAGGUGGAGUCAUCUUCGUCAUACUAAUAACAUUAACAAUCGACUUGAGUGCACCCAAAAUUGAGCCUAGAACUUCUGGAUACUCUUCUCCAAGAUACUCAUACAAGACAACACUAAGAUGGCCCAAAAUUGUUGCUCACCUUUGCACUCUUGUUGUUUAACCUCCAUUUGGGUUAAAACAAAGAGAGAAAAAACCACAAAACAUAAACCCUAAACCCUAAAUCCUGGGGUAAAACCAAUUCAAAGAAACCUCUUGAAAUUUUCAAAUUUUCAAAGAGGCAUAUUUCAAUUAAAGGUGAAUGAUGAAAAAUCAACAUUUUGUAGAAGAAAGAGAAAGAAUGAGAGUAAGGAGAAGAGAAUGUGAGAAAAUGGUGAAGGUUGGCAAGGUUUCUAUAGGGAAAAAAAUGUUGAAAAAAUAGGUUGAACGAUGAAAAAAAAGGAUGAAUGAAUGUUGAAAAAAUAGGUUGAACGAUGAAAAAAGAGGUUCAAUGAAUGAUGCAAAAAAGAGGUUUAAUGAUUGAAAAAAGAGAUUGAAUGAUGAAAAAGAAGUUGAAUAAUGGAAAAAUAGGUUGAAUCCCAGAAGGACAGUAGUGGCAGUUAACUACCGCUGGCCUCAGCGGCAGUUAACUACUGUCGGUUUGCAGAACGGUAGUUAACUACCGUUGGGGUUUUUUUAGAAAUUUCCAUGUGUUAUUAGGACGUUUUUGAUGUCAGAAAAGCAAUUUUCAAACACUUAUUAAAAAUAAGGCUAAAAUAUGGUUUUAGUCCCCGCAAAUAUGUCUCGUUUUUGUUUUAGUCUUUGUAAAAAAAAAUAUAUAUUUGUUUUUAGUCCCUGCAAAAUUUUUUGUUUUUUAAAAUAGUCCCUGGCCCCAUUUUUGUGAUGAUUUGCAUACGUGGCACAUGAUGACUGAACCGAUUUUGUAGUUUUUGGUCCUGCAAAAUAUAUUGUUUUUUAAAAAGGUCCCUGCAAAAUUUUUUGUUUUUGAGGGACUAUUUUCAAAAACAAAAAAUUUUGCAGGGACCAAAAACAAAUUUUUUUUUUACAGAGACUAAAAUCAAAACGAGGUAUAUUUGCAGGGACUAAAACCAUAUUUAGCCUAAAAAUAAAGGGCUUCCCAUGUGUUUAUGUAGGUUUUUAAGUAAACAACAAGACUAGUUUUGAUUAUUACAAACAGGAUCAAACCAGAAACCCUAGGACAUGUUAUGCAAUCUUUUUCCAUAAAAUAGAUUAAUGUUCAUCAAAUUCAUAGGUUGCUUUAUGAACCAAUGAAUAAUGUAAAAUAAAUAAGAAACUUUUUUUUCUAGACCCCGCACAUAGGUUGCUUUAUUUUUACAUUAUUUUAAGAACCUAUGAUAUUUCAUAAAAAUAUUACUCAACAAUUUUAUACGCUAAAUUUAGAAGUAGAAUAAAUAAUAAAUAUUUUAUAACCAAUGAAUAAAUAAUAAUUAUAAAUAAUCAUAUAUUGGCAUUAUUAAUUCAAGUGACUGAUAAUUAUGUAACAUUGUUAAUUUUUAUUUUGUUAUUGUCAAAGAGAUUUAAAGGUUGACGAAACAUUUAUAAAAGAAAAAACAAAGUGUAAGUGACAAACAUGUCAUCUAUAUUAUGUUGGCCUCCCAUGAUUAUGAUAUAACUUGAAGCACUAUAAAAUUAUUAUUAAUAAAUCACAGGAAAAUAAUAAUUACAAAUAUUGGGGGGAGUAUACCAAAAUCCAAUAAAAGUUAACCAAGUGAUUUCAGCAUGUCCCUUAUUAAAAUUUUCUCACAAAAUUCCCUUGGAAUAAAACCUGAGUACAGGCAAAAAGUCCAAAGGAACUAAACAACACAAAAGUAACAUAAACAUAAAUCAAAGUGCAUAUGAUAUUAUCAAAGUACGAACAUUAUGACAUACAAAUAACUUAUAUGUAACAUAUAAUUAUUUUGCAUAUUUUUUUUGGUAAAUAGACGAAAUGACAAAGACAUUAUAACUCACACACAUAAGUGAAGGUAUUGGGGUUCAAACCCCGAUCAUGGCAUCCGGCCUAACAAUUUCGGCAUAUUGAUAGUUACCCUUUCAUGCACUUACAAAUUGAGUUAAUGCAUUGAGGUAUUUCCCGAAAACUACACCCAACCUGUUGCACAUUUUGUCGACAAUCAAAGUGAUCUUCGCAUGUAACAAGCACUGCAAUUUCAAAUAACAAUAAAGUAUUUUUAUUAAAAGAGUAUGAAAUAUUAUGUGUAAUAUAAAUAAGAAAAUGAGAAAAUAACGUCAAAAAUUACUUACUGCAGUCGUUUACCCCGACAUAUAUAGAAAGAAAGAUUAUCAAAGCAUAGACAACUUUGGAAAUGUAAGUCAUUU
rnacentral:lncRNA from 1 species